rnacentral:misc_RNA from 1 species
UGAAGACGGGGAACAGGCAGAGCAUGGAUGGAGCUACUAACAGAAGUACUUGUUUUGGCUCUACCCAUGCACUGCCUCUUCCCUGGCUUGU